rnacentral:rRNA from 1 species
UACGUAGAAUGCAAGCGUUGUCCGGAAUUAUUGGGCGUAAAGAGCUCGUAAGCGGUCUGUCGCGUCUGCUGUGAAAACUCAGGGCUUAACCCUGAGCUUGCAGUGGGUACGGACAGACUAGAGUGCGGUAGGAGAGACUGGAAUUCCUGGUGUAGCGGUGAAAUGCGCAAAUAUCAGGAGGAACACCGAUGGCGAAGGCGGGUCUCUGGGCCGUAACUGACGCUGAAAAGCGAAAGCAUGGAGAGCGAACAGG